GACGAACGCUGGCGGCGUGCCUAAUACAUGCAAGUCGAACGCAUUUUCUUUCACCGUAGCUUGCUACACCGAAAGAAAAUGAGUGGCGAACGGGUGAGUAACACGUGGGUAACCUGCCCAUCAGCGGGGGAUAACACUUGGAAACAGGUGCUAAUACCGCAUAAUUCCAUUUACCGCAUGGUAGAUGGAUGAAAGGCGCUUUUGCGUCACUGAUGGAUGGACCCGCGGUGCAUUAGCUAGUUGGUGGGGUAACGGCCUACCAAGGCUGCGAUGCAUAGCCGACCUGAGAGGGUGAUCGGCCACACUGGGACUGAGACACGGCCCAGACUCCUACGGGAGGCAGCAGUAGGGAAUCUUCGGCAAUGGACACAAGUCUGACCGAGCAACGCCGCGUGAGUGAAGAAGGUUGUCGGAUCGUAAAACUCGGUUGUUAGAGAAGAACAAGGAUGAGAGUGGAAAGUUCAUCCCUUGACGGUAGCUAACCAGAAAGCCACGGCUAACUACGUG
rnacentral:rRNA from 1 species